rnacentral:rRNA from 1 species
UACGUAGGGGGCAAGCGUUGUCCGGAAUCAUUGGGCGUAAAGCGCGUGUAGGCGGUUCGGUAAGUCUGCUGUGAAAGUCCAGGGCUCAACCCUGGGAUGCCGGUGGAUACUGUCGGACUAGAGUACGGAAGAGGCGAGUGGAAUUCCCGGUGUAGCGGUGAAAUGCGUAGAGAUCAGCAGGAAUACCCGUGGCGAAGGCGGCCCCCUGGGCCGAACCGUGACGCCUGAGGCGCGAAGGCUAGGGGAGCGAACGGG